UCCCUGGUGGCUCAGAUGGUAAAGCGUCUGCCUGCAAUGCGGGAGACCCAGGUUCGAUUCCUGGGUCGGGAA
rfam:Ovis aries breed Texel chromosome 18, whole genome shotgun sequence.